rnacentral:lncRNA from 10 species
AAAGCACAGAGCUAGUGGUUAUGGUGCCAAACAGCUGUUCAGGAGCUGCGACGGGUGUCUAACUGCUCACUGAAGAGGUCAAAGAGAGCUUUGAGAAAUGCUUGCCCUGACAGUGAUGUUUGUUCUCUCAGUGCUACCGCUGAUCGCCUUCAUACCAGCCAAUCGCAUAGCUGAGAACUCAAGCAAGCACGAAAUAGAAAAACCUCAAUUUGAAGAGUUUUAUAUUGAAAAUAUCCAGGAUUUCCUGAUUAUUUUACAGACAAGCUAACGAAAUUCAGUAGAUGACCUGCGUUUCAUCGCUGCCAGAUGAUAAACAUUUGGGAGCAGGGACCACUUGCUGAAAGGCAUCUUGAGAGAUAUGCUCCCACUUCUCAGAUCGGAAGACUAAGGCCCCAAAGCCUCCAGAUCUAGCCUCUUAAUCCAGGCUUCUUCUUAGCCACUGUGGUCUCACCCCGUUUAUCAGGCAGUGGGAUCUGUCUGCCCCACCCAACUCCAGAGCUUUUCCUUUUGUUUUGGAAUUGCCCUUGAGUUCUGCGCUGCUCUUCUCCUCUUCCCCGUGGGUAUGAAAACACCAAGGAUGUCAACAGGAAAAGACAAGGAUCUGUAAACAGAGAAGCGAGCAGGAAACAAGGCCCGCAUUCAUGGGAAUAAACUCAGCAACCCUAGAACAUUUGCCAUUCAUAACGGCAAAUUUUAAUCAGUGGUGCUGAGAAACUCUUCCCAAGCAAAAAAGGCUUGUGUCUCUCUGGGGUGGGCCUCUCUCCUUGCUCCAAAUCUGGUCUUAGUUCCCAGUCUAAGGUAGCUAGGGGAUCUUCACAGCACACUCCUUGAACAAUAUCACAUUUAUAUAACCUUGCCCCUCCCUUGUUUGUGAGUCUGGCUAUUUCUUUCCCUGUUAAAAGACAAAACCCCAACCUCGUCAUAGAACACCCACCAAACAAGAGCAGGAAUCCCUCUUUAUCUGAUGGGCUUGCCAUGCAGAGCUGCGGACCCUGAGUUGCCUGGCAGAUGGGAAGCAAGCCCAUCCUGCCCUGUGGAGGGGAGGGGCGGAGGAGAGCCCACUGCCAGUCCACAGCGGCCACACUGGAGAGACCUGCAAAUCCGGGCUGGCCGUGCAAAUCCGGGCUCAUUGUCAGGCUGGCAGCAUUGGCCAGGCCUGAGUAAAUCAAGUGAAACAGAAGACAGAUGGAUGUGACCAAGUUAUUGCCAAGAGGAAACAGACAAGGAUCUUGCUCUGUUACCCAGGCUGGAAGACAGUGGUGUGGACACAGCUCACUAUGGCCUGGACCGUCCUGGGAUGAAGCGAUCCUCCCACCUCAGCCUCCCAAGUAGCUAGAUCUAUAGACACAUGCCACUAUGCCAGGCUAAUUAUUUUAUUUUUUUGUAGAGAUGGGGUCUCACUUUUUUGCUCAGGUUGGUCCCAAACUCCUGGUCUCAAGUGAUCCUCCUGCCUCAGCCUCCCCAAGUGCUGGGAUUACCCCUGUGCCUAAAGUCUAUUUUUUUUUUUUCUUUAAGGAUCUCUUACCAUCUUUGAGAAGAGUAUCUUGUAUGAAUUGUAGAGACGCAUGAUAGAAGUCAGGAAGAGUGGCUGGGUUGAGGGAGGCUUUUUAUUGCAAUAAUCCAGGUGUCAGGGGACAAGAAGCAGGACUAGGACAUUAAUAGCUGGGAUGGAGAGAUUAGGGAACUUUCGAAAGCAAAUGGAGGAAAGGGUAAAGUCAGGGUGUGGUAGCUAGUUUCUAAAGAUUGUUCCCAGUGAACCACACCCAGUAGUGUUGUCUCACAUUGAUUCUGGACUGGGCCAUUCAAACUGAGGGAAUGAGGCAAGAUGGUACUACGUUGACUUCUCAUGACUUCCAAGGCUAGGUUGGAGGAAGGUUUGCCUGGGCCUCUUGGAAUGAGAACCCAGCUCUCACGCCGUGAGAAGCCCAAACCACCCAGCUGAGCUCCUAGCUACCAGCCAGCAUCACCCACCAGCCACAGGAGUGAGCCAUCUUGGGCAGCUAGUCCAGCUGAGCCAUGAGAUGACGGCAGCCCCAGACAACAUCUGUCCUUAAUGACCUAAGAUAACCCAACAAGAACUACCUGCCUGAGCCAAUGGACCUCCAGAAUCAGGAAGGACAGUAAGAUCAGACGCCGCCUCCCCACCAGCUCAUCUAUAAAACCUCCUGCAUUUCACCGCGGAUCCGGCAACCCAUUUUUCUGAGACCCCUCUCUGCAGCAGAGAACUCUUCUCUUUCUUUUGCAUAUUAAACUUCCGCUCUCAACCUCAAUCUUUAUGUGUCCUCAUUAUUGUUCUCCGUGGCCAUGAGAAAAUGAACCUCGGGUGUGACUCCAGACAAUGAGGCUGUUUCACUUAGAGGUCAAACAACUUGCCCAAAGACAUGUGGCUAUUAAGUGGAAUCAAACCCAGCUCUGCCACUUACUAGUUUAAAUGGUCAGAAAGCACUGUUUUAUGGAUUUUAAUAACUUCUUAUGUCUGUGAGAUUAUUUUGUCUGCAAAUAAUAGAAAAACACAAUUUGGAUCCAUAUAAACCAUCAAGAAAUGUAUUCUUUUCCAUAGGAAG